GGUAAUCUCGUCCGCCGAUCGGAUGCGCUCGCGCGUCACCCCCGGUUCGCCGUGGAUGCCCAUGCCGACCUCCAUGUCGUCCGGGCCGAUCUCGAAAUUGU
rnacentral:sRNA from 1 species